AAUUGACGGGCCGCUUCCGCAGUCAAUUAUGGAAGGACCCGCGUCGCAUUACAAAUUUGGAGAGGUAACGGCUCUCCAAGGCAACGAUGCGUAGUCGACCUGAAAGGGUGAUCGGCCACUGUGGGACUAAGACACGGACCGGACUCCUACGGGAGGCAACAGUAGGGAAUCUUCCGCAUUGGACAAAAGUCUGACGGAGCCACGCCGCGUGGAUGAUGAAGGCUUUCGGGUCGUAAAACUCUGUUGUUAGGGAAGAACAAUUGCUUCUUUAAUAAGCUGGUACCUUGAAGGUACCUAAUCAGAGAGCCUCGUGUAAUUAUGUGCCAGGAGGCUACCGUCAUACGUACGUUGCAAGAGUUUCCCGGAAUUAUUGGGCAUCAACCGAGUGCUAUUGAUGUCUUUUCCUUGAUGUGAAAGAUCCAAGGCCCCAACCGGGGAGGGUCAUUGGAAACUGGGAGACUUGAGUGCAGAAGAGGAAAGUGGAAUUCCAUGUGUAGCGGUGAAAUGCGUAGAGAUAUGGAGGAACACCAGUGGCGAAGGCGACUUUCUGGUCUGUAACUGACACUGAGGCGCGAAAGCGUGGGGAGCAAACAGGAUUAGAUACCCUGGUAGUCCACGCCGUAAACGAUGAGUGCUAAGUGUUAGAGGGUUUCCGCCCUUUAGUGCUGAAGUUAACGCAUUAAGCACUCCGCCUGGGGAGUACGGCCGCAAGGCUGAAACUCAAAGGAAUUGACGGGGGCCCGCACAAGCGGUGGAGCAUGUGGUUUAAUUCGAAGCAACGCGAAGAACCUUACCAGGUCUUGACAUCCUCUGAAAACCCUAGAGAUAGGGCUUCUCCUUCGGGAGCAGAGUGACAGGUGGUGCAUGGUUGUCGUCAGCUCGUGUCGUGAGAUGUUGGGUUAAGUCCCGCAACGAGCGCAACCCUUGAUCUUAGUUGCCAUCAUUAAGUUGGGCACUCUAAGGUGACUGCCGGUGACAAACCGGAGGAAGGUGGGGAUGACGUCAAAUCAUCA
rnacentral:rRNA from 1 species